rnacentral:rRNA from 1 species
GUUGGGUAGGGGAGCGUUCUGUAAGCCUGCGAAGGUGUACUGUGAGGUAUGCUGGAGGUAUCAGAAGUGCGAAUGCUGACAUAAGUAACGAUAAUGCGGGUGAAAAACCCGCACGCCGGAAGACCAAGGGUUCCUGUCCAACGUUAAUCGGGGCAGGGUGAGUCGACCCCUAAGGCGAGGCUGAAAAGCGUAGUCGAUGGGAAACGGGUUAAUAUUCCCGUACUGGUGGUAACUGCGAUGGGGGAACGGAGAAGGCUAGGUUGUCCGGGCGACGGUCGUCCCGGUUCAAGCAGGUAGGCAGAGUGAUUAGGCAAAUCCGGUCACUUAAUGCUGAGAUGUGAUGACGAACCACCAAGGUGGUGAAGCAAUUGAUGCCCCGCUUCCAGGAAAAGCCUCUAAGCUUCAGGUUACCAACAAUCGUACCCCAAACCGACACAGGUGGUCAGGUAGAGAAUACUCAGGCGCUUGAGAGAACUCGGGUGAAGGAACUAGGCAAAAUGGUGCCGUAACUUCGGGAGAAGGCACGCUGGCGGUAGGUAAAGUCCCUCGCGGACGGCGCUGAAGCCAGUCGAAGAUACCAGCUGGCUGCAACUGUUUAUUAAAAACACAGCACUGUGCAAACACGAAAGUGGACGUAUACGGUGUGACGCCUGCCCGGUGCUGGAAGGUUAAUUGAUGGGGUCAGCCGUAAGGCGAAGCUCCUGAUCGAAGCCCCAGUAAACGGCGGCCGUAACUAUAACGGUCCUAAGGUAGCGAAAUUCCUUGUCGGGUAAGUUCCGACCUGCACGAAUGGCGUAAUGAUGGCCAGGCUGUCUCCACCCGAGACUCAGUGAAAUUGAACUCGCUGUGAAGAUGCAGUGUACCCGCGGCAAGACGGAAAGACCCCGUGAACCUUUACUAUAGCUUGACACUGAACAUUGAGCCUUGAUGUGUAGGAUAGGUGGGAGGCUUUGAAGUGUGGACGCCAGUCUGCAUGGAGCCAACCUUGAAAUACCACCCUUUAACGUUUGAUGUUCUAACCUAGGCCCAUAAACUGGGUCGGGGACCGUGUCUGGUGGGUAGUUUGACUGGGGCGGUCUCCUCCUAAAGAGUAACGGAGGAGCACGAAGGUUGGCUAAGCAUGGUCGGACAUCAUGCGGUUAGUGCAAAGGCAUAAGCCAGCUUGACUGCGAGAGUGACGGCUCGAGCAGGUACGAAAGUAGGUCUUAGUGAUCCGGUGGUUCUGAAUGGAAGGGCCAUCGCUCAACGGAUAAAAGGUACUCCGGGGAUAACAGGCUGAUACCGCCCAAGAGUUCAUAUCGACGGCGGUGUUUGGCACCUCGAUGUCGGCUCAUCACAUCCUGGGGCUGAAGUAGGUCCCAAGGGUAUGGCUGUUCGCCAUUUAAAGUGGUACGCGAGCUGGGUUUAGAACGUCGUGAGACAGUUCGGUCCCUAUCUGCCGUGGGCGUUGGAAGAUUGAGAGGGGUUGCUCCUAGUACGAGAGGACCGGAGUGAACGCACCACUGGUGUUCGGGUUGUCAUGCCAAUGGCAUUGCCCGGUAGCUAAGUGCGGAAGAGAUAACCGCUGAAAGCAUCUAAGCGGGAAACUUGCCUCGAGAUGAGUCUUCCCUGUCGCUUUAAGCGACCUAAAGGAACGUUUAAGACUAAGACGUUGAUAGGCUGGGUGUGUAAGCGUAGCGAUACGUUGAGCUAACCAGUACUAAUGAACCGUGAGGCUUAACCUGACAACACCGAA